rnacentral:rRNA from 1 species
AGUGAACGCUGGCGGUAGGCCUAACACAUGCAAGUCGAACGGCAGCACAGUAAGAGCUUGCUCUUACGGGUGGCGAGUGGCGGACGGGUGAGGAAUACAUCGGAAUCUACUUUUUCGUGGGGGAUAACGUAGGGAAACUUACGCUAAUACCGCAUACGACCUACGGGUGAAAGCAGGGGAUCUUCGGACCUUGCGCGAUUGAAUGAGCCGAUGUCGGAUUAGCUAGUUGGCGGGGUAAAGGCCCACCAAGGCGACGAUCCGUAGCUGGUCUGAGAGGAUGAGCAGCCACACUGGAACUGAGACACGGUCCAGACUCCUACGGGAGGCAGCAGUGGGGAAUAUUGGACAAAGGGCGCAAGCCUGAUCCAGCCAUACCGCGUGGGUGAAGAAGGCCUUCGGGUUGUGAAGCCCUUUUGUUGGGAAAGAAGAGCAGCAGGUUAAUACCCCGCUGUUCUGACGGUACCCAAAGAAUAAGCACCGGCUAACUUCGUG